GAUGAACGCUAGCGGCAGGCUUAAUACAUGCAAGUCGAGGGGCAGCAUGGUGUAGCAAUACACUGAUAGCGACCGGCAAACGGGUGCGGAACACGUACACAACCUCCCUUCAAGCGGGGCAUAGCCCAGAGAAAUUUGGAUUAAUACCCCAUAGAAUAUUGGAAAGGCAUCUUUUUGAUAUUAAAGAUUUAUCACUUGAAGAUGGGUGUGCGGCUGAUUAGGUAGUUGGCGGGGUAACGGCCCACCAAGCCUUCGAUCAGUAACUGGUGUGACAGCACGACCAGUCACACGGGAACUGGGACACGGGCCCGACACCUACGGGAGGCAGCAGUAAGGAGUAUUAGUCAAUGGACGAAAGUCUGAACCAGCCAUGCCGCGUGGAGGAUGAAGGUCCUCUGGAUUGUAAACUUCUUUUAUAUGGGACGAAAAAGGGGCUUUCUAGCUCAACUGACGGUACCAUAUGAAUAAGCACCGGCUAACUCCGUGCCAGCCGCCGCGGUAAUAC
rnacentral:rRNA from 1 species